rnacentral:lncRNA from 1 species
GUCUUUAUCUUAGUAAACAGUCUUCACACGUUUGCAGCCUUCUUCUUUUCAGGGUGUCAAACACUAUCAUUUAUAUUUUACCGUUUAGAUUCUUUAAAUGACUUCAGAGACAUGGAAACAAAUGUACUUCAUUAAGUAAUUAGAAUGAGGAAGUGACAUCACUCUGACAGGAAGUUCAGUGAGUCUUUAAGCAGCAGCAGCUCAGAGACUCUGACAGUCCACAGAGAGACGGAGAAGCAGAAUGUUGGACUUCAGGUGGAUUCAGAUGUCUUCAUGUCUCCUCCUGGUGCUUCACUUUACAGUAACUGCAGGUCAAAUGUCUGUUUUAAAGAGGGGUGGAGAGGACGUCACUCUGAGCUGUGAGAAAGUCAUCGAUGACCAGAAUAACUGUGAUGGUACUACCUGGGUCCACAGUCGUCCAAGAAUCAAUGAUUCAGCCACAGAACUGAUCAGACUGGGACAGAUCAAUGAAAACAUCCCAAACAAAGACAGACUGAGUGUUACAGAGAACUGUUCUCUGAUCAUAAAGGAGGUCAGAGAGGAGGAUGUUGGUCGUUAUGUCUGUCAACAGUACAAGAAAGAAGAACAACCACACACUCAGGUUCAUGUGUCUCGUGUUGAUCUGUCUGUUGUUUUCAUGACUGAAAGUAACAACACUGAUCAGGUGGAUUUAAUCUGCUCUGUGGUUCCAUAUGAUCGCUGCAGACACACAGUGAGGUGGCUGUUUAAUGGUGAAGACCUGGAUGGGCUUCAAUCAGGCAUAUUCACAUCAAAGUCUGAGUGUUCCAGCACUGUGAAGGUUCUGGAUCAGAUUAACUUUGUUUACGAUUCACAAAACCUUUUGAAGUGUGAAGUUACUGAUGAAACUGGAAAAGUGCAGCAGUUUGACUUCAACCAUCAAACCUCAGGUGACUCACAAACAGAAACAACUGAACAUCCACCAACCACUGAAACCAAAGGACCAGACCAGAGUUUGCUGAGGUCCAUUAUUGUCUCUGUGGGUUUAGCAGCACUCAUCAUAACUGCUGUGACAGUCUGUCUGUGGACCAGAGCUAAAGGUGAUUGAACGACUCACUGAACAGUCACAUCAUAACAAAGUGAAACUGACUCUCUGCUCUUAUUGUUUUAGGGACUCAAAGGCAGAAGGAUGAAGGCAGAGUGAGUAUCAAGUAUUUACACAUGAAGCUCUUCACAGAGCAAAUCUGUGUGUGUUCUUUAUUAUCUACUGUGAUCUCAAUGUGUGAAGCUCUUCUGGGUCUUUUCUGGUUGGAGGUUGUUGGUUUGAAUCCCUUCAAUCUGCUCUGAGAACAUUUAAAGUGUGUGUUUUCACAGGUGUACAGUGAUGAAGAUGAAGGUGCAGUGGACUAUGAAAACAUCACAGAGUCUUCUGUUUGACUCCACUGAUGAUGUUUUAUUUUGAAAGGGUUCUUCCUGCUGUGUCACAUUGUACUUCCUGUUUAGUUUCCUCCUCUUCAGUGUUUUCAGCUCUGUUGUUCUAUCGAGUUAUUUUGAUUCUUUGUGAAGUUGUGUGUCUGAGUCUCAUUUUGUUGGAUUUAUAAAAUGUGUUUGAAUAUAAUCUGUGACAGUCUGCUGUUUGCUGCUGCUGAUGUAAUCUGCAUACAUAAUGUGUUCAUAUUCAGGCUGAUGGUGUGUUUUUAAGGUGGAAUUCUCCUGCAGAACCAAUAAAU